UACGUGUCUAUGAUUUCUCCGUUGUUAAU
rnacentral:piRNA from 1 species